CCUACGGGUGGCAGCAGUGGGGAAUAUUGGGCAAUGGAGGAAACUCUGACCCAGCAACGCCGCGUGAAUGAUGAAGGUCUUCGGAUUGUAAAGUUCUUUUCUAAGGGAAGAAGAAAGUGACGGUACCUUAGGAAUAAGCCUCGGCUAACUACGUGCCAGCAGCCGCGGUAAUACGUAGGAGGCGAGCGUUAUCCGGAAUGACUGGGCGUAAAGGGUGCGUAGGCGGAAUAUCAAGUCAGCGGUAAAAAUUCGGGGCUCAACCCCGUCGUGCCGUUGAAACUGAUGUUCUUGAGUGGGCGAGAAGUAUGCGGAAUGCGUGGUGUAGCGGUGAAAUGCAUAGAUAUCACGCAGAACUCCGAUUGCGAAGGCAGCAUACCGGCGCCCAACUGACGCUGAAGCACGAAAGCGUGGGUAUCGAACAGGAUUAGAUACCCGAGUAGUC
rnacentral:rRNA from 1 species